rnacentral:rRNA from 1 species
UACCAGCACCCCGAGUGGUCGGGACGAUUAUUGGGCCUAAAGCAUCCGUAGCCGGUUCUACAAGCCUUCCGUUAAAUCCACCUGCUUAACAGAUGGGCUGCGGAGGAUACUAUAGAGCUAGGAGGCGGGAGAGGCAAGCGGUACUUAGUGGGUAGGGGUAAAAUCCGUUGAUCCAUUGAAGACCACCAGUGGCGAAGGCGGCUUGCCAGAACGCACUCGACGGUGAGGGAUGAAAGCUGGGGGAGCAAACCGG